CACCGCCCCCGGCGGGACCGGCCGUGCGGGGGGCGCGGGGCCGCCGUUGCCCGGCAGCGGCAGCUGCGGUUCCCCGGCCGUGCCGCGAUGAGAGCCACCGACUGGUGCCGGAGCUCGGCCGGGGCCGUGCUCGUCCUGGCCACCUCCAGCGACGCCGAGCACCCCGCCGAGAGCGUGGCGGACGGGAAUUCUGAAACAUUUUGGACGACGACAGGCAUGUUCCCACAGGAGUUCAUUAUUGGUUUUCCCAAAUGUGUGAAAAUCAGCAAAGUCGCGAUCCAGUGUUAUUUGGUGCGGACCUUAAGGAUUGAAAGAAGUGUAUCUAAAGACCCCGUGGGUUUUGAACAGUGCAUUGAAAAAGAUUUGCAACACACAGAAGGACAGCUCCAAAUGGAAGAAUUUCCACUUCCUGAAUUCCAGGCCACUUACUUGCGCUUCAUCAUCAAAUCUGCCUUUGAUCAUUUUGUGUCAGUGCACCGGGUGAUGGCAGAGGGCACAGCAGAAAAUGCUUAAGUCCAGCUUAAAUUUGGACCUCCAUUUUUUUUGUACUGAAGUGACAUCUUGAUAGCUGUAUUGCAGAGAAUGUUUAUUAUUAGAACCUUGUAUUAAAGUGCUUUUUUGAAGCUUUUCCAGGAUGGCACGUAUUUCCUGGGGGUGGUAAUUCCAAGGCCCAAAUCCUCCCUGCAAAGGCAAUAAAAUGACAGAGUGAUAUUCAAGCAGACAGAGCAGAAGUCCUUUGGAGCACAGCAGCUGCACCAGAACUGUGGGCAGGUGUGCUUGGGCUCCCUUUGCACUGCAGGAGAUGGUGUAUGCACAGGUUGCACCCUGCUGUGUCACUGGGAUGGUGCCAAUGUCUGCAUCCUGGAGCUGGAAAGUGUUCCUGGAUCUCACAGCUUAGAUGUACCUAGGGUUAGUAGUGAGCCAAAAGAUAAAUAUUUGAGCAAGA